UGGAUUAUGACUGAACGC
rnacentral:snRNA from 1 species